GUGCUCAGAACAAGCGUUUGCUUGAAUGGUCGAUCAUGGAAUAAUAAAGAGGACUUCGGUUCUAUUUAUUGGUUCAGGAACUGAAAUAAUGGUUAAGAGGGACAAUUCGGGGGCAUUCGUAUCCCUGCGCGAGAGGUGAAAUUCGUGGACCGCAGGGGACGCCCUAAAGCAAAGCAUUUGCCAAGAAUGUCUUCAUUAAUCAAGAACGAAAGUCAGAGGUUCGAAGGCGAUUAGAUACCGCCCUAGUUCUGACCGUAAACUAUGCCAUCUAGCGAUCCGAUGGGGUAUUGUUGCCUUGUCGAGCUUCCGGAAACGAAAGUCUUUCGGUUCCUGGGGUAGUAUGGUUGCAAAGCUGAAACUUAAAGAAAUUGACGGAAUGGCACCACCAGGAGUGGAGCCUGCGGCUUAAUUUGACUCAACACGGGAAAACUCACCCGGCCCGGACACCGUAAGGAUUGACAGAUUGAAAGCUCUUUCUCGAUUUGGUGGUUGGUGGUGCAUGGCCGUUCUUAGUUGGUGGAGCGAUUUGUCUGGUUUAUUCCGAUAACGAGCGAGACUCUAGCCUGCUAAAUAGUGGCUGAAUUUUCAUGUUCAGUCUACUUCUUAGAGGAUAAGCGGUGACUAGCCGCACGAGAUUGAGCGAUAACAGGUCUGUGAUGCCCUUAGAUGUCCGGGGCUGCACGCGCGCUACAAUGGAAGAAUCAGCUGGCCUAUCCAUUGCCGAAAGGCAUUGGUAAACCGUUGAAACUCUUCCGUGACCGGGAUAGGGAAUUGUAAUUAUUUCCCUUGAACGAGGAAUUCCUAGUAAGUGUGAGUCAUCAGCUCACGCUGAUUACGUCCCUGCCAUUUGUACACACCGCCCGUCGCUGUCCGGGACUGAGCUGUCUCGAGAGGACUGCGGACUGCUGUAUCGAGGCUUUCGGGUCGCGGUAUGGCGGGAAACAGUUCAAUCGCAAUGGCUUGAACCGGGUAAAAGUCGUAACAAGGUAUCUGUAGGUGAACCUGCAGAUG
rnacentral:rRNA from 1 species